rnacentral:rRNA from 1 species
AUACGGAGGGUGCAAGCGUUAUCCGGAUUCAUUGGGUUUAAAGGGUGCGCAGGCGGACUUGUAAGUCAGUGGUGAAAUCCCGGGGCUCAACCUCGGAACUGCCAUUGAUACUGCAAGUCUUGAGUUUGGUUGAAGUGGGCGGAAUGUAGCAUGUAGCGGUGAAAUGCAUAGAUAUGCUACAGAACACCGAUCGCGAAGGCAGCUCACUAAACCAACACUGACGCUCAGGCACGAAAGCGUGGGGAGCUAACAGGAUUAGAAACCCCGGUAGUCC